AUGAACACAGUAAUGACACAAACACAAAUCAUCAAGGUAUGAUACUGCAUUAGUACUGCUACCAAAUAUGUAUUGAAAGGAACAAAAUCGAUGGUGAAAAGUAACAGUACUGAGUUAUGAAAUAUAAAAUCUAUACUGGAAAUAAGUCGCUUUGAUCAAAAAUUUAAAAGAUAGCGGAGGCUGCAUGAAUAAAUUUCGUUCUUUUCAUGAAUCAAAGCAGAGGAAACGCCAGAAUAAAUGUGAGAGAGACAAGACUCUAAAUGUAUCGGCAAGAAAGAAUUGGGAGCGAGUUUAUUUUACCACUGGGUUUGGGUUGGGUUUGGUGAGCCGGCUUUAUUUUAGUGGGCAGCAGAGUUUGGCCCAGACGAAGCGAUGCGUAGAUGUGGCACCCGUUUCAGCAGUUCAACACAACCAUCUGGGUCCCAGACUCCUAUAAUAGGGUAUUCAAUCCAAUCGGCAUUCUCUUGGCGAAGAGACGCUAAGAAUAAAAUGGCUUCCACCUGUAUUUUGUGAAUCUUCUGAACCACCCAUCCGCAGCUGAUAAGGGGCUGUUUAUCUUGGCCUAUGAACUACAAGUUGUAAAGGGCUGUAAGAUAUUAUAACGUUGAAUUCGUGAGUUCAUGUAUGGGACUGUUUACUGUUUAGAGAGGGCAUCUAAGUGCAGCAGGAAGCGGUCAUUCUUGAAGCCCUAAUAAUAUUGAUCCAGUUUGGCAUGACUAGUCUUGUAGCAAAUAUGGAUGAGAAUCAAAUCAAUAGGUGUGGCCUGUGGUAAAACAAUGAUUCUACUCUGGAGACUUUGUGUACAAUGAUGAUAUGCCACCUGUUAUAUUUGGCUCCAAAUCUUAUUUCCAUAUCCUUCUCCCG
rnacentral:lncRNA from 1 species